rnacentral:rRNA from 1 species
CUCCACCUUGGGCAAAAUGUGACUACGCGCUCCACACAAAGCAGGUCCCGUGACGGAUACUUGGCAGAACCCACGAAGGCAGAGAUCAGAAGUGAGGCAAGCAUUUCUGGGGCACACAGUGGAGGCAUUAGACAACGAAAGGGGGGCCGAGUGCUUGCUCGUAUACGUAGGCCCGCGCGAGGCCCGCAGACGUGGCUACCCCCCGCAGUGCAAGCUGUUACUGAGGCGCGCCGGGUACCGCGCGACACAUGAAAGGAGUACGCCCAGCAUCGUGGGCCGCACUUCGCCGUAAGUAGGAUGUCGCGAUGGGUUCGGCAUCCGCAUUCUUAUCCGGUGGGAGGCGGUGUGGCGGGGUUGAUGGCGGCGCUCAGACCACACGACUCCUGGCGCGUCGUGGCACAUCAAGGGGUGCCCGCAUCUGAUCACUUCUGUUGGUGGGGUCUACGGCCGGUCGGAGGCUCGGAGACGGUCAGGCUGUCGGCCCGCAGGUGCUGCUUUCGGCGCCAUUGCCGGGUGCCAGGGGGCUCCGUGGCGGAUCGGCCACACAGUACGGACGGGCGGUGUAUGUAUAAAGUUCUGAUAGGGUCCUUUUCGACCUAAAGAACUUAACGGGUAAUACCGGGAUGAGGGAUUUGGUUUCGACAGAGCCUAAUGAAAUUUGUUAUCUGUCUUGUAUGUCGGGGAACAUGACAUGCAGCCAGUGACGGCCGCACUCCCGGGUUACU